AUAUAAGAGAGUUUUCAACACAAUCGUGGUUCAUGGAGCCUUGUGAUUUGGAGUGCUACUAUUACAAGGGCGUGGUUGUUGUAUCUUGGGAGACAUGCACCGAUCAACCAUGAGAAUCGUAAUAGAGCGUAAACUUGUCUAAAGGACAAAGUGUCCAACACUGGCCUCAACCGUAUUUUCUAGAUUUUUCUAAUCCAUUAUGUCAUGUUGAUUUAGCAUUGGUUACUCAUGUGCAUGCAUUAAUUUUGAUAUAUAAUUGCAUGAAUUAUUUCUUAAAUUUUAUGUGAUUUAAUAUAACAAUUAGACCCAAUUAUUCGAACAAUCUUAAGACAAGUUUACGCCCCACUACGGUGCUCAUGGUUGAUCGGCGCAUGUCUCCCAAGAUACAACGACCACGUCCUUAUAAUAGUAGCACUCCAAAUCACAAGGCUCCAUGAACCACGAUUGUGUUGAAAACCCUCUCAUAUAGACUCAAUGAGACUCUCUAAUAUUUAGUGCACUCUAUGUAUGAUUAUGUAGACAAUGAAAAGUUAUUUGUGAUUAUAGGGGGCUUCCCUAUUUAUAAAAUGUGAGAUACCUCUUUGGAAAACAUGUGACUAUUCAUGAAGAGUCAAAAAGUUGCAACUCUUCAUUUGAGUAGACACAUCUUUCUACCAAAAGCUCCACUUCUAAUUUCCAUUCAAUUAAUAAAUUUAAUAUAAUAAUAAUAUUAUUAUUAAAUUUUCCAACAAUCCCCCACAUGAAUGGAAAUUGACUUAAUAACAUGCAAAUGACAAUACAGACACUAGAGAGAGAAUUCAGUAGGAAAAGUACCGCAUCGGGAUAGGUGGCUUUUGGCUUUGAACCUUCCGUAGUGAAUUACUAUCGGAUUUACUUGGCUAAUCAGUGAACGCGAUGUCUUGAACUGCUCAGCCGUUUGUGUAAACCAAGACAAUAGUAAUCACACAAUACCCUUCCAGACAUUUCAUGGUUGCUCGGUUGUGUUCAUUUUGGCCCUGAACAAUUCUUGGUUUCUCAUGAGUGCUUUUAGAUGAAGGAAUCAUAAUGAACUAAGUCUUGAACUAGAUUCCUCUAAUUCAGAUUACAACAUAUGACACACAUAGUAUUGAUCAAAAAACUUAGCGCGGGUUAGCACUAUUAAUAGCCAUGUGCUUAAUCUUGAUUUUCAUGAGUGUUUUUAGAGAACAACCCAAUUCUCACAGUCGCGGCCUCACGACUACUCUCACUUAGGUGAGUCAUCCAAGAGUACAUGUGACCUAUACUCUGCGGGAGAUUGCCCGCCUUGGAACUCAUUCAAGACAAUGUCUUUCCUUAACAUCACAUAUCAUCAGCACAAAUGUCAUAGGGAUGAGCAGGGGAUUUUAUUUCAAAUCUCCUAUUUAAGAGUGCUGGAAUAUAAGUCACGCAUUAUGGAUUGUUUCUACCCAUUGAACCUUCUUCAUGGGAUCUCCAAUCACAAAGGUUGGGUUUCUUCCCUAGGUGACUUCCUUAUGGGUUUAAGCCCAUCCCCCUCGACAAAUUUAGGACUCCAUUCCUAGAUAGACCUUUGGUCAAUUGAUCGGCAAUGUUCUUUUCCGACUUCACAUAGUCCAAAGAAAUAACUUCUUUAUUUAAUAGGCUUCUCACAGAUUUGUAUCUAACAUUAAUAUGUCUAUUUAAUUUCUUAUUUGUAUGUGUCUGCCUCACUAAAUCUAUCACAGCCUUAUUAUCACAAUGUAUGGAAAUGGCAGGUAUAGGCUUGCUCACCAAUGGAAUAUCAAGCAAAAAAUUCUUAAUCCAUUUAGCCUCUAUACAUGCAGUAUCAAGAGCUAUGAGUUCAGAUUCCAUUGUACUUCUAGAAAUUAUUGUUUGUUUCUUAGAUCCCCAAGAUAUAGCUGCUCCUCCCAAUAAAAAUACAUAACCUGAAGUGGAUUUCACUUCGGAGCUAUCAGUGAUCCAAUUUGCAUCACUAUACCCUUCUACUACAUAAGGAAAUCCUUUAUAGUGUAUAGAAUAAACCAUAGUUCCUCUUAGAUACUUAAACACUCGCCUUAAAGCAUUCCAGUGUUCUUUACUUGGAUUAUGAGUGUAUCUACUUCGCCUUCCAACCGCAUAAGCUAUAUCGGGUCUAGUUUUAUUUGCUAUAUACAUCAAAGACCCAAUCAUUUGAGAAUACUCGAAUUGACACACGGGUUCACCACUAUUUUUAAGUAAGCACACAUUUGGUUCAUAUGGUGUCGAUACAGGAUUGCAAUUGAAAAAAUUGAACUUCUUAAGCAUUUUCUCAAUUGAACUAGCUUGGUUUAUAAUAAAACCUGCUUGUGUUCUUUCUACUUUCAUUCCCAAAAUAAUAUUGGCUUCUCCUAGAUCCUUCAUAUCAAAUCUCUUUGAUAGAUAAGACUUUACAUCUUUCACAAUUUCCAAACUUGUUCCAAAUAGUAAUAUAUCAUCAACGUAAAGACAUAAAAUAACACAUUGUCCAUUGCAUUCCUUAUAGUAGACACACUUUUCAUGCUCAUUAAUUUCAAAAUCAUAUUCUAGAAUGACUUUAUCAAACUUCUCAUGCCAUUGCUUAGGAGCUUGCUUGAGUCCAUAUAGCGAUUUAACCAACUUACACACUUUAUGUUCUUGGCCUUUCACUAUAAAUCCUUCGGGUUGCUCCAUGUAAAUUUCUUCAUCUAAGUCUCCAUUCAAAAAUGCUGUUUUAACAUCCAUUUGAUGUACUACUAAAUUAUGUAUAGAAGCUAAUGCUAUGAGGAUCCUAAUUGUGGUAAUCCUAGACACAGGAGAGUAAGUGUCAAAAUAAUCAAUUCCUUUCUUUGAGUGAAUCCCUUGGCUACUAGCCUAGCUUUGUACUUGUCUAUACUUCCAUCAAGCUUCAGUUUCUUCCUAAAUACCCACUUACAACCAAUUGGUGUAGUACCGGGUGGUAAAUCCGUUAACUCCCAAGUGUUGUUUUGUAAAAUAGACUCAACUUCACUAUUUAUAGCUUCUUUCCAAAAUGGAGCAUCGACGGAGAUCAUGGCUUCCUUAUAUGUUGUUGGAUCACCUUCAAUUAGAAAAGUAUAAAAAUCAUCACCAAAGUUCUUCUCCACUCUAGGUCUCUUACUCCUUCUAAGUUCAGCUAGAGGUUCUUCUUCGUUUGUAACUUGAUGGCUAAUACUUGUAGAGGCUUUGUCAGUACUAGUGCAUGAUCUAUCUACCACAUGCUUUUGCAUUCUAGUCUUGAAAGGAAAUAUAUCUUCAAAAUAUGUUGCAUCCCUAGACUCCAAUAUAGUGUUAUUCGAAAUUUCAUUUAUUUCAGAGUUGAUGACUAGAAAUCUAUUGGCACUACUAUUAUGAGCAUAACCUAAGAAAACAGUAUCCACAGUUUUAUGUCCUAUCUUCUUUCUCUUAGGUUCUGGGAUUGCAACUUUAGCCAAACACCCCCACACUUUCAAGACUUGGAGAUUUGGUUUUCUCUUUUUCCAAAUCUCAUAUGGAGUAGUAGUGUUCUCUUUAAUGAUUACUCUAUUUAAUAUAAAACAUGCAGUCAAAAUGGCUUCCCCCCACAAAUUUUCCGGUAAUCCAGAACUCAAAAGCAUUGCAUUCACCAUGUCCAAUAAGGUCCUAUUCUUCCUUUCUGCAACGCCAUUUGAUUGUGGAGAAUAUGGUGCUGUUACUUCAUGUAUAAUACCAUGCUCUUCACAACAAACACUAAGAUCGGUAAGAGUGUACUCACCACCUCUAUCAGACCUUAGUCUCUUUAUCCUUUUCUCUAAUUGAUUUUCCACUUCUGUCUUGUAAAUCUUGAAUUUACCAAAUACUUCAUCCUUGGUCUUUAUCAAAUAAAUAUAACAAUACUUCGAACAAUCAUCUAUAAAUGUGACAAAAUACUUAUUACCAGCUCUAGUAGGUAAUCUAUUUGAGUCACAAACAUCACUAUGUAUAAGCUCUAAAAUUUGUGUAUUUCUCUCGACAGACUUAAAAGGUUUCUUGGGUUGUUUUGCUUGUACACAAAUUUCACACUUAUGCUUGAGAUUCAUGUUUGACUUUGGGACGAGAUCCAAAUCCAUCAUUUUCUUAAUUUUGAACAAGUUUACAUGUCCCAAACGUCCAUGCCAAACAUUACUAGAUCAUCUUGGUAUAUUCAAACACCUCAUUUGAGCAAUGUAUGAGAAGUUAUUCCUAGAAUUAUUGUAUGUGCUUUAAAAAUUAACGUAAAAUUAGUUAUUUCGCAUAUAGGUGAGACGUACCCCGAGGACCAGCAUGGACAAGCAAGAUUAAGGGGCUACGAUCCUACUACUUAUCAGUGAGUAUAUAUAUAUCGUGGUUUCCAUAACAUUUUAAAAAUGAUUUAUGCUUUAAAUGCCACUUUGAAAAUGAGUUGCAUUUUAUGUAUUGCAUUAUUAUAAAUUGUGAACUAUAUCGUUUGAUGCUGCGAAGGCUCAAGUGAGUAUAUUGUGAUGGUAUUGGUUGCAUGGCAUAUUGUUAUGCAUAAAUGCAUUUAGAGCUCAUCAUUGCUGCACCCCGAUGUUAGUGCUCCCGCCCGAGGCUAGGACACAGUCAUUCACGUGAUGUUCACCUCCCGCACCGCACGCUCACCUUGGAUCCAAGUUUGGUGACAGCCCUGUCGUACAGACCACAAUAGGUGGUUUCGACUCGUAGGUGACCCACGAUUAUUCGCACAGCCUUCACGUGAUCGUAGUACUUGAGCGUACAUAUUUACACCAAGCACUAUCAUACAGACCACAAUAGGUGGUUCCGACUCGUGUGCUAGCAUAUAUUGAUGAGCUAUAGGUCCAGUCGUACAGGUCACAUUAGGUGACUCCGACUGAUAUAUUAUUUUAUAUUGAUUUCACCUGGCUUACAUCUUUUAAUGCAUAAACGUUAUGGCAUGGCAUACUUCAGUUUUACUAGCCUUGUGCAUUGAUAUUCGUAUGUAUAUACGUAGUAUCUGGAACUAUACAUGUUUUACAAUGAGGGGUUAUUAUGUUUAGAAAAGAUAAAUGUGUUUUCAAACGUUUUGUUUUUUCCCACGCACCCUUCUAUUUUGCACCCCUCUAGGUCCUAGGUAGCUGUACAUCUUGGUGGUUCACGAGGACUUCUCGGCGGUUCUGACGAUCUUCUAAAUAACUGUAGGGAUGUUCUCCCAAUUUGUACAAUUAACACUUAGUUAGUUCGACUGCACUUUCGUUUACCUAUGCUCUAAUAUGUGUGUAUCUUAUACUUGAUCACUUUCACGCACUUACAUAUUAUCUCUAGUUUAAGUAAGUUUAGUUUUGGUUUUUACUUAGUUGCAUUUUCUUAUUAUUACCAUCAUUUCUGUUGCGCAUUGGGCUACGUUACCCUCACGUAAUGGCCAGCACGUCUCGACUUCGGUCGGGGUAUGUCACUUAUUUUCUAUUUGUGACAUAUUAUUUAGUUUGCAAAUUUAGUUUAAAAUUUUAAUCUCCUUAGAUUAUCCUUCUAUAAAAUAAUACCUCAACAUAAUAGGAAGAAAGAAGGGAACAAGAAGAAUUAAAAGUCAACGGUCUACAGUCCAAAAGAAUUGCAUGGAAGAUGAAAGGAGCAAAUCCUUUGUCGAGCACGGACGUGUUGGAGACUCUUAUCAGGUUGCACUCAUGGUCGAUGCACAACAAUGGAAGAAACAGUUUUACAAUGAUUUUAUGAUUGGUUAAUGAAAUUCAACUGUUCAUGCAGUGGACACACGAACAGAAAUUUCAACACAUGGAAGAACAAGAUUAACCACAAUAAUUGGCGUUAGUGCGUGGUGAUUUACCGUCUCAAAUACUACUCUUUAUUUUAUUUUUUAUUUUUUUUUAAUUUUUUUUACAACACAUUUUAAGUUCGAUACCUAACACUGAUGAAUCACAAUGAUGGUUAGAGAGAGAUUUAAAUGUUUUUGUGAGUGUUUUCGACAUCUGAAAUGAUAGUGUUGUGAUAAAGCCACCAGCUAUUCCCCUGUUUUUAAACAACAAAAAAAGCACAAAUAAUACACUUAGAAAUAUAGAAUAUUGUAGUUUAUCUGAGCUAAACAGGUUUUGAGAAUAAAAUAAAAAAAUAAAAAACAUUGUCAUUAAUGUCCACAUUAAAAUUUUUAAGUUAGAUCUAUCUUUUAACACAUAUGCAUCUUAACCGAAUGCAUGUCACUCAGUUUGUUAAGUGUCAAAGCUCUAUGCACCACAUGUUCAGUUCUAGUGAUUAUUGUAUACCAAAACAAUUUUGAGAUUGGUUUAGACUAAUACGAAAUCUCACUUAGUCAAGUUCUAAGUUAUAAACAGUCUUAAUUAAAGAAAUGUCGCAGAUACUUUAGAAUAAUCGUUCUACACACGUCUCAUUCCAACAUCUUGUUAUAAAACAAUAGAGGAAUCCAAAAUGAUGAUUUCAUAUAUAUAUUUUUAUACCACACGUGUCAUGAACUAAGAUAUUACGCACCCUAAUAAUUUGGAGUAGUCAGAUAGAUUAUAGAGUAAGUUAUCUAAACACAAAUAUACUACAUUAGUAGAGCAUUAAGCCGACAGUUAAUGGGCAGUCAUCUCGUGCAUGGAUCUGUGCUUCAGUAGAGAAAAGCUCCGCCAUCCACGUAUAGCUACUAAAAAACCUUUUUAAUUUCUAUCUAAUCUAAAAACAAAUUAAAAAAACUUUUAAUUGGAGAUUGCACUACCUACUCCCUAUUUAUUUUCUUAAAAAUAAAUAAAUAAAUCAGUUGGUGGUAUUGUCACGGAAGUUCAUUUUUUUAGAGAUAAAAAAGAUUUACAGAGACAUUUCAGUUUCCUCUUACCAUCAUCGUACGAUUCAUCGACGCUAGUAAUCCAAAACCACUAAAUCAUCUCAUAGUGGUUACCUACUCCUUAUUUCCAUUGGAUACUAAUUGAAUCAGCCACUGACCAUUUAUAAUGGUUUGUGGCAUGCCGGAAGAGAAAAUAUAGGGGUGUGCUAUUCAUAUACUUUUUGUUAAUUUCUGUGAUUUGAUUUUUUUUAAUUUAUUCGAUCUGAAAGCUAAAAAUUGAAAAAAAAUAUGUGAAAAAUAAAAAGAAGUGUGUAGAUAGUACAUCCAAAAUAUAUUGUUCAAAGUUAAGCAAUAAUUGAUGAACAUGAUCCAGUGUCGUAUUUUGUACGGUUACCACUCGUUUAUCACAUUCUAAUUUUGGUUUGGGUGUCCUCUCAUUAAUCAUUACUGCUUUGCAGCCUGCAGGAGUAUAUUCUUUCCUUUCUUGACUCAUUGCUCAAGUAAUCCAAAGACAGACUUCCUGAAAUCAUGAUAUAAUCCAAAGACAGAACUAAUCUGCCUGUUAGGUGGGAAAUUGAAUAAGGUGCAAUGGUUAAUUUGGAAAAAUUGAAAUGUCGGUGAUCGGAUGUUUUUUCCACCUAAACACUGUCAAAACAAUGUUUUACUAUGAAAAAAAUUGUUUAACUGCUCUAAUUUUUUUUAAUAAUAUAAAAAUUUCUUGAAAACUCUUCUCUCCUUUGUGAGAGCCUUUCUCUCUACGUGAGGGUUUUCUCAGUGGUUUUUUUUGAGGGUUUCAAUUUUGUGCAAAUCUGGGGGCGCCAACCCUAGUUUCGGCUGGGGUUGGUUAGCCGAUCUUCCUUUCCUUUCUUUGUCUCCUUCCGUUCCUUCCUUCGGCAGCGUUUUACCCCUGCUCUCUUUUUCGUUUUGUCCUUUUCUACUUCUCCUACUGGCGUCCCUCCUCCUUCAUCCAUGCUCCAAUCUGCCAUCAUCUUGUUCUCCUGAGAUGGUGUGUAGAGCUUCGGUGCUUGCACAGGCUCGGGUGUUCCCAACACCAUAAACCUUUCUCUGUUUGCCUUUGUUGGCGGUGUUGCUCAUGGCUUCUCACAGGUUUUUUUCUUCUGGUAGCUGGAAUUCUUUUUCCGGUUGCUUGUUUUCUACGAUUGUGGAUGCGCACUAGGUGGUGCUUGGACUUGGAUGUUCUGAUCAAAGAGUUGACGUGUGGUCGGAGGCAUGGACUUGGGCGAAUUUUGGAACUACUGUUGCGGCGGUGGAUGUUGUCGACUUCUCGGCUUUCUUUUGUUUUUUUUGUUUUGGGCCCACACGGUUGGUUGGGCUUUGUUUCGACUUGUUUGGAUGGUCCAUUUUACUGAUCUUGGUACUCUUAUAUUUGGACCAUCGGUUGUUUAGUUUGUUUGUUUGUUUGCUUCUCUCUUUGUACUUCGGCUUUGCCCCGGAAUUUCAUGUCCAGUUUACCAAAAAGAAAACUGCUCUAAUUUUUUUUGUCUCAAUUAACUGCGCUUUUUUUUUUUUUUUGGAACAAAGGUAAAACCCAUUGGCAACUACAAAUCUACAAACUAAAGGCCCAAAGACGGAAAAACACAAACAAGCAAAAAAGGCCCAACCAAACGAGCCUAACCAACAGUUGGGGCCCAAAACAUAAACAAAGCUAAAGAAAACUGAGAAUUCUGCUGCAACCGCCAUCGCAACAGUGCAUCUUGACCUGUACAACUCCGCACCCCUAAUCGGACCUCGCCGAUCGCAACAUCCAACCUCGAGCACCUCUUCGAGCACAACCAUAAAGUGAAAAAGAGCUAGCGACCAAGUGAAAGAAGCCCAUUGGAUUCCGUAAGCAACACUAUCAGUAAAGGUAGAUAGAGAGAAGGUGGCGGUGUUGGGAACACUCGAGCCGGUGUAAGCACCAGAGCUCUACGCACCAUCUCGACAGACUGCAACAAAUAGUGGGGAAUUGUGACUGCAUAUUGGAGCUUGGAUGAACAAGGAAAAGGGACGCAUGUGGGGUAAGAAGAGGGCAAAUCAGAUGGAGAAUAGGGGAAAUAACAUAAGGGAGGAAAAAAAGCGGCAAAGAGAGAAGAGAGAAUGACUACUGACCCUGGCCGAAACCAGGGUCGACGCCACCGGAAUUGAAGAAAAUUGUAAUCACUCACGCAAACGGUGAGGAACACCUUCAAGCAGAGAAAAAGUCUCCCAAAGGGAGAGAAAUGUCUUUUUAGCAAUUUGAUUCCAAUUAACUGCUCUAAGCUUAACUUUUGAGCUAACCUACAAUGGGUGUUGAAUAGCAGCUAUUCUCAACAUGAUUUGAAUGCCUGUGCAAAAUAAAGACUGAUCGAUAUUUACUUGGAAAUGUUUUAUCUUAUAUGUUAAUUAUGGGAAUUUUCUACUAUAUAUAUACAUAUCAGAGGAGUUUCAUGUCAAAGUUCGGAACUUCGGUAGUGAAAGAGGAACACCUUCAAGCAGAGAAAAAUUAUGUACCUCUUGAAUUUCUUAUAAGCCAAGUAAAUCAGAUAUUAACAAUGGAUGAAAGAGGAUCCAAAAUUUGAUGUAAACACAUGUUCCGUGGAGGAGGGGUAAAACGGGUCAAAUAUCUUAACCGGGUAAUUUGAGGUCUAGACCCGGUUUGAGUUUUAAGUUAAUCUCGGGCGUCGGUUUCAACCAACGGCCACGAUUGACUUAUGCCCAUAGCUCCCUUAAGCUUCUCGAAGCUCCCUGGGUUGGAGCUCAGAGAACGGUCUCGAGAUUGAAAAAUGGCGUCUCUGGUUCGAUCAGCUACUCUCAGAGCACUGAAACCACUUUGCAAUGUCACCCUAAAUGACGCCGUCCUCCGCCGGUCCCAAACCCUGAGCGUGCGGGCUUUCUCCACGACCUUAUCGCCGCCGUCUAAGGCGGUGGUAUACGAGCAACACGGUCCUCCCGACAGGGUCACCAGGUUUAACUUUCUCUCACAAUUUCACCUCUUUUAUUACUCAUUUUUAUUUUAAAUUCUUAAUUUUUAAAUUAGUGGGGGCUUUUUGGUUGGAAGAGUGAUAGAAUUACCGCCGGUUGAAGUGAAGGAGAACGAUGUGUGUGUGAAAAUGUUGGCUGCUCCUAUCAACCCUUCUGAUAUUAAUCGAAUUGAAGGUUUAUUUCUCUUUUUAUUUUCUGGGUUCAGUCUCUCAUUUUUGUUUAUUAUCUGUUUGGUUGCUCAGAAAAUGGAGGUAAAUUUAUUACUUUUAACAUGAGCUCCGAUUUUUUGCUUUAUUUUUAGGAGCAAUUUUUCGAUGUAUCCGGAACACGCCCAUGAAGUGAACCCUAAUUACAAUACGUAAAUUUGUUUUCUUAUAAUACAUCUUAGAAGCGUGACAUAUCAAUCGUGUCGUUCACUUCUAAUAUAACAAGUCUAAUAGGACAACACCUGACUUCUUUCCCUCUAUUAUUAGCUUGUUUUGAAAAAUUCAAAACAAAAAUUAACAUGAGUAAACAAAGUUGCAAAAUAUUUUAAGAUCAUGUUUUGACGAUAUUUUUAUUGAAUUUACUAUUUGUUGCUUACUAGUGGGUCUUUCUUGAAUUGAACCAUGAAAAGGGGUGUACCCUGUGAGGCCACAAGUUCCAGCAGUUGGAGGAUAUGAAGGCGUAGGAGAGGUACAAUCAGUCGGGUCUGCGGUUAAAGGUCUCUCGCCUGGCGAUUUGGUCAUCCCAUCUCCGCCUUCUUUCGGUAAAUUCUUCAUUUCAAGAUCACGUUUCAUUACAUUUACAGUGAUGCAAACAAAAUAUUUGAAUGCAUUUGGAUAAUUGUUUGCUUAGGGACAUGGCAGACUUAUAUUGUGAAAGAUCAGAGUGUAUGGCAUAAGAUCAAUAAAGAUUCACCCUUGGAAUAUGCUGCCACUGUUACGGUUAAUCCUUUGACUGCUCUAAGAAUGCUAGAAGAAUUCACCACUUUAAAGAAAGGUAUAGCAACAUCUGUAAUUUCUACGCUGGUUUCUUAAUCGUCUUAUCACUGACUAAUUUGGUUUGAAUAGGAGAUGCUAUUGUUCAAAAUGGAGCUACAAGCAUCGUGGGGCAGUGCAUUAUUCAGCUUGCACAGCAUCGUGGUAUCCAUAACAUUAACAUAAUAAGGGACAGGUGCUAAUACGAAAGAGUGGUUUAUAAGAAAAUUACAGUUUUCUGAUAGCAGUAUAUUUCUUUGAUUUCUGCAUCCAGAAAAAUACUUUUUUUUUUUCUCUCAAAAGAAUCUUACCUUGGUUUUACCAUUGUAUGCUUUCUACAGGGCUGGAUCCGAUGAAGUAAAAGAAAAACUCAAAAACCUUGGUGCUGAUGAAAUGUUUACAGAGAGUCAGCUGGAAGUUAAGAAUGUCAAGGGUCUUCUGGUAUUAUCUUUAUUUCCUUGUUAUAGUUGAUAUUCUCAAGUGUCUUCUGCAAGUUCUGGAAUUGGUUAAUUAGUUUGUAUAUUGUAGUUCGGUUCUUCCUCCACUUAGUUGUUUCACUAAUCUGUUGGCGUUUAAUCUGAUUAUAUACCAGGGUGGUAUACCUGAACCUUCAUUGGGAUUCAACUGUGUUGGAGGCAAUGCUGCUUCUCUGGUUCUUAAGUUUUUGGGGUAUGAUAUGCCCUACUGUAUGCUUUGAACAGUGCAACAUUUUUAGUGGUAUUAGAAUUUGACAUCCUUUUCUAAAUCUAAUGUAUUUCUGUUUUAGGCGUGGUGGAACUAUGGUAACAUAUGGUGGAAUGUCUAAGAAACCUAUUACUGUAUCAACUUCAUCUUUUAUUUUUAAGGUAUGUCAAUUCUAUUUUUUUGGCUUUACUUUUUAGAUGAAAGUAUAUUGCACACAGAAACCUCAAUUUUUUAUUUCUCCACUGAGAACUGCGAGUUAGUGUGGGUGCGACAGGGAGUGAAGGCAAACAUGUGGAAAUGAGAAGGGAUGCUAGAUUAGAAAUAAAAGGACGUGGGGAAACCAUGAAAUAGGAAAGGGAACAAUAACAAAAGCACAUAGGAAAAUCUGAAUCCUACAAAGAAGAAAAGCAGUUAGAUAUGGCUGAUACCAAUAGAGGUCAAAAGAAUGAAGGUUGCACGUUCCGAAAAAAGGAUUGAGUAGACCCGGUGUCAUUAUAUAUGCAUUUAUGGUAUGUCUAGUCUUGAACUAUUCUAGCAAGUUUUCUUGAGUGUUAGUUUUACAACCCUAGGAGGUCAAUUUGGUUAGAAAUUUAAAGUUGUAUAGUUACGGAAAUCCUUUCUGGCAUUUAAAACCUAGAUUAGGUUAGCUCUUCACGUAGCGUAGCCGCGGAGAUGAAGGGAGAAAUAGGAAUUAUCUGUUGGGGCAUGGUGGGUUGUCAUGUUGGUUGGCGCGCCUUUGGAUUUCAUAGUCUUCAAGGACACAAUUUUGUACACCGACCAGUUCCUGUUAGUAGAGAAAUUUCUCAUUAGUUCCACAGAUUAAUGUAUCUGUUUGUGAUAAUUUCAUUCUGCUUGUGUACUGUGUCUCAUAUAUCUCCGUGUGUAGGAUCUUUCCUUGAGGGGAUUCUGGUUGCAGAAAUGGAUGAGUACAGAAAAGGCAUUUGAGUGUAGAGUUUUGAUAGAUCACCUCCUCGACCUAGCACGGGAAGGGAAGUUAAAAUACGAGUAAGUUCUCUUUUGUCCUCUAUACACUUGCGGCUUCUUUUCUUCCUCCAAUUUUUCAAAUUUUAGUUGCUGUAUUUUUAACAUUUAGAGGUUUUCCCUGUUUGUAGAAUGGAGCUGGUUCCUUUUGACAAAUUCAGUGCUGCACUCGACAACGCGCUUGGGAAACAAGGAAGCCAACCGAAACAAGUUAUCAAUUUUCAGCUUUAAGCAUGACGUAAGGCUUUUGUUUUGGCGAUCCUUGGUUUUAUUAUAAGGUGGUGGAUUUUAUUGCGUUAGGAUUUUACGUCAUAUAUGGGAUCUCCCGGUGCAUAAUGUAAUUGUUAGAACAAAUGGAAUUGGACAUUUACAGCAUUUACUUCCUGUUGGAAUGAAGAGUACAAGACCAUAAUGUUGAGCUGCUUCUUUCAAGUCCUUCAUCCCUUCAACAACAGUAGAGCAUCAUGUGGGUCAAUGUUUUCGCGAUGGAUACGUAUUCAAGUUGUAAUAGUAAAAGAGCGGCGGCUGGUGGUGGUGGUGGGUGGUAUGGAAGUGGAUGAGAAGAUUAUAGUUCAUCAGAAGCCAUGAUUCGAGUUCAGUGUCCGGAUCAAGACGACCGGUAUGCUAGAUUGAUGAAUGCACUCAAAAGGAUUAGGGUUACAAGUUUACCAUGCAUGCAAGCAUGUCAAUUGUCAAAGAGUUGAUGAUUCAAACAAGUGGAGACUUGCUACUUUGAAAACCUAGCUAGCCCUUUUAACAUUGACAACCCCAAUUUAACACACUAAUUUUCAAUUGUAAAUGAGGGGACAAGUAAGUCCCCUUGUGGAGGGACAUGAGCAUUAUUCUUUAAAAUAUAUCUAAAAGCUAGAAAUUUGAUAAAACGUACGUAUUAACUUAGGAAAUUAAAAGAAAAAACACUUUAAACAUAGGAAGCAAUUAGAUAGAUAUAGUUUUACUCGAAUCAUACUCUUCUUCCUCACAUUUCGUUUGCAGUCCAAGAAACUCAAAUAGCCAUGACAACAAGAUAUGAAUGCCAAUUUCCAACUUGUUAAUUACUAUCUGCACAGUCUAACAUGUGUGACGAAGUUUUAUUACAAAAGGCAUCAAUAUUAGUGGGAGUUAGGUAUGAUAUUUAAACUUUUCUUUUCUAAAAAAUAUAGUUAAUAUGAAAUAUUUCUACAAUGAACGAUAUCAUACUUUAAUUAGAGGUUUUAGAGGGGAUAAAAGAGUAUAUUUUGACAUUUUCUCCGUGAUUGGAAAACGAAGUGAGACUUUUUUAGCCGUAUGUAUAUAUAAAUCAUGGUGUGGUACCCUUUAUUAUCUGUUAAAUGUCCACGUUUCAGUUUUAUUUGUUAUUAAAAGUUUGUAACCAGUUUAAUAAUUGUAAAUUUCUUUAUUUGUUAAGCUCCAAUUAGCUAGUGACCUUUAUAUGCAUGCCAAAAUAAAGAAACCCAUCUAGUUAAUACAACACUUUUUCCUUAUUAAUAAAAUUUUCUUCGUACCGUUGAAGUUUUAAAAAAAAUACAAUAAACUUCAAAGCACAAUGGUGAAAAGAUGUUGUAUCCUUGCAUGACGGCGUGGUUUCGAACUUCGUUGGUGGUUAAUCUAAAAUUUAACUUACUACCGUUAUCGCUUGAUUUAAAAAAAAAAAAUAAUAAUAAUAAUAAGAAUAGUUCAAAAACCUUUAUUAAUUAGCCUCAUAUGAUAUGAUACAUGACCAAGAACCUAAUAGUACAAAGGAUAAUAGUGAAAAUCAUCCAUCUUCGAAGGCUUUGCACAAAAGAAAAAUACAAGAACGAGCGCACAAGUGGAAGCAGCCGCUAGAGCUAGUACAAGAAACCAAUUCUCUGUUGCCUCCUUGAGCCAAGAAACUCCACCAGAACUAACAACAUCUUUCACAACCACGUCGUACUCUGGAUACCUUAGGGUUUGAAAAGCCGGAUCAAACAGGUCUUCAACCCCGUGAACAAUCAGCCGUCCAUUGUUAUAGAGAUCCCAUUCAGUGACUUUGACUAGGUUAAGAGAAGCAUAUCCAUACGUGCCAGCCGGUAGGGAAGUAACGACGAGAGGAUGACCGGGCAGGAGAGUGUCGACCUUGGAACCGUGACGGAAGGAGACCUCCAUGGAAGCUUUGUCCACCUUGAAGGGAACAGCAUGGUACUUAAGGAGUGUCAAUGGGGGCUGUGGGUACUUGGAGUUGAAGAAAGCUUUGUCUUGUGGGCAAAAGAGGGUAACAGUGCUGUUAGGGUUUAUAGCCUCAAGAAGGAUGUCUAGGGUAAGUGACAUGGCAUGAUACCCUUUGUCGGAGAGGAUGACUGAUACCAAACCGCCGUUGAUUAUCUCGGAUGGUUCGCGUUGGUUCGUUUCUCGGUAGGGUUGGACGGCAUCAGCUUGCAUGGUGUUGGUAACAGAGAGAGGUGAAGUGAGAAGAAGAACGAGAAGAAACGGAGUGCAAACUUGGGAUCCAUGGGAGAAGAGAGAGCUAGGUGUAUAGGGCUAUAUAAUUGCAUACAACAAGAGAUUUAGAGAGAGUUUGGUGAAACAAAACGUGAGGCGGAACCGCAUAUUUAUAGUACCGAGCCAGUUUCUUAAUCCUACCCUAAUUCUAAUUGAUUUCCAAAUCGUAAAGGGAAUAUCUUUUUCUUUCUGGAAACAUAGUCUCUUGGCGGUUUCCAAUUUUUCUUGGGUUUUUGGGCCAAAAUAUAAUGUCCACUUGAAUAAUCACUUGGAAUCCGUGUAAAUGUAAUGACUUCUCCAAAAAUAAAUGUAAACAAUUGCUAAUUAGCCAGACAUAAUAGAAAAACUUAUAAUGACUUAUAUUAACACAAAACAGCAAAAAAAUAAAAAUAAAAUAUUAACCUGGUCCUGAGCUCUACCAUUUAUAUUUACUCACUUAUCUAGCAGGCAAAGAUUUACCUUUGUGGAAAGAAUAAUCCAUUUGGAUCGACGUGAGAGUUCAACUACAUUGCAUUGCCAGAAUCCAUGUUGUAUAUUUGACAGAAGAUGACCCCUUGCUUCUUUUGUGUUACAAUCCUCUUCCUGUUGCACCCCCUUUCUCUUCAGUCCACAGAGACAAAAUGUAGGACUGGUGCCAACAGUUCAUCACGGAAGAAAAGACCCACUAAGCAAGAUCAAUAACUAAUAAUACUAAUGAAAAUGCUAAUUUGAUAGAAAAACUGUCUUUUAUAUAUACUUUCCCCAGUUAUGUUGCUACUGUGGACUUUACACAACCAAUUGGAUCAUAUAAAAUAUCCCUUCAACACAACAUAGGUCCUUGAAAGGAUCUCGAAAACCCACCAAAGCACGAAAGCCAAGAUUUUUCGGAAAAUCGAUUCCUAUUCGAAGAAUGUCACCGUAUUUACAGAGUUAUCCAUUUUUGAGCUAAGUUUCACCGCUACAAUGUUCUAGUUGUAUGCAAAUCAUUCCAAAGGGACCAUAUAGCCGCUAGCUUUGUCAAUUGUCACAUAUUUAUGCAUACUAAGUGAAUGCUAAUUUACUCAAAAAGGUUCACAAGAAAGUCCAAUCCAAAAAAGUAUAAAGACCGCUAUAUUCUUACUUUUAUAUACAAACCACGUCAAAUCCAAAGAAGGCCGGGAGAACCCUCAGCUCUUACUAGACUCUCAGAUUGAAUCAAUCCAGAAGCUUCACAUUACCAUAUCACUCUCGUUAUGAAACCGCCGUUUCAUCCUCUCAACACAAAGGAGAACCCCCGUCUCCCCUAGUUAAUCUUCUUAUAUAGAAUCUCCUCACAAAUGAGAUACAUUACCAACCUUCCGUAACCAAAAGCAUCCUUCAAAUGAGAUGCCGGUCGGUGGAAAACACAACAGAAAGAGAAUACAGGUCGCGGCCGACAAAAUUAUCCCAACAUGUUGUCUGGAUUGAAGUGUAGAGACUCCCUCCAUAUAAGCUCCUUUAUAUCUUCUUCAUCCAGGGAUGCCUGCUCAAAGUCAAAGACGAACGGAGAUGGGCAAACAGGCUCCUCAUUUAUCUCGUGAAGACUUGAUAAAAAUGGAUGGUUCAGUGCUUCCUCCACUUUUCGUACAUAGUGAACCAAAAAGAUAAAUGUUUAGUACUGUGAAAAUGAAUGAGAAAAUUGAGGACUGAGCGUUAUUUAAUGCUACGAGGCUUACCAGUAAUACGUUUGCUUGGAUCAAAAACUAGCAUUCUUUCUGCAAGAUCAAUUGCCAGUGGCCAGACAUUUGGGAAUUUCUCGGCAAAGGGUUGCUUCGGGAAAUGUGGGAGCUGCUUGACAUACUUCCUAGCAUUAUCACUUCUUAAAAAGCCAAGAUCUGAAUCAUCUGGUGAACCUAGCAGCUGUAUUUGAACAAUCAAGAAUUUGAAACAUCAAAACUAUAAAAUUAACGGCAUAAACUUCCAAAUUCUGUAACUAGUUCUGACAUCCCUUCUAAAGAAUGUCAAUAAUAAACAAUAUACUCUGCUAAAGCUGAAUCACAUCUAUCAAGUUCAAGAGUGCCUAGAGAAUAUGAUAGAAAGUGCGUAUACCUCAGUUAUGAGACUCAACUGCUGAACAUAGUCUUUACCGGGAAACAGUGGUUCCCUCUUAAGAAUUUCCAUGAAGAUGCACCCUACUGACCAAAUAUCAAUUGCUGCAGUGUAUUCUGAACAGUUGAGUAGUAACUCUGGGGCUCGAUACCAACGAGUUACAACAUAUUCUGUCAUGAAAUCUGUCUCUGAUGUAGUUCUUGCAAGCCCAAAGUCACAAAUCUUAAGGUCACAAUUUGCAUUGAGAAGCAGGUUACUCGGUUUCAGGUCGCGGUGCAAAACAUUUGCAGAGUGUAUGUACUUCAAUCCCCGCAGUAAUUGAUACAGGAAAUACUGCAAGAAACAUUAUAUGCUGCUUAAAAUUUAAGUGAUCUAAACUUUGAUUUCAACAGAACUUAUUAGGUAAUUUACUAUACUUUUGAGUAUAUAUAUAUACAUGUUGCAAAUACCACAUGACCAAUACAUAAUCUACAUAUCAUCACGAGAGAGCGAGAUGGAAAGAUAACCAAACAGAAGCACGAAAUUUCAGAAUUGCGGCAAAAAAAUGAAAUACAGAUCAAAUAUUCAUUCUGCCUGCCCGUGUCCAAUGUUUAUGUCUGGCUUACCAGGUACCAAUUUGCAUAUCAGACUUUUAGGUCAUAUUAAAAGGCAUGUGACACAGUGCUGUACAUGGCCUCUUACCUUAUUCAAGCAAACGUACAUGUCGAAUUGUAAAGAUACCGAUCAUAAUUAACAGCGAAAUUCACCUUAUUCAAGAGAUUAGUAGCUGUUUUUGAACAACAAAGUGCUUGAUUCAUCGACAUCAUAAACCUAAUAGUUUUACCAUUGAAAUUUUGAUUAAUCGACAUUCCUUCAAAACAAUUAUCACAAUAUGACAAUGCUCAACUCACCUGACAGUGAUCAUCUGUCAAAGCCUGGCUGGAGUGUAUUAUCUGAUUCAAGUCAGUAUCCAUCAAUUCAUAUACAAAGUAAACAUCAUUGAACUUUUCCCUAUCUGCCGGCUUUAUGAUGUCCUUAAUUUUGAUAACCUGCAAAACAACAACCCAAUUAUUUCUUAUUUGGGUAAUAUUUAUCAUUCAGCUCCAUUUGGGUAAUUCCAACUUUCCAAAAGGAAGGAACAGCAGAUGAGGUUUUACAUUGUCAUGAUCCAUAUGACAAAGGAGCUUUAUCUCUCGAAGCGUCCUCUUCGCAUCGAUCCUAUUGUCAAAUGCAUUCCCAAUUUCUUGAUUGCAACCUCUUCUUUUGUCUCAGAGUUUGUUGCACAGCUGCCAUAAGGGAAACAUUAACCACCUCUACGCUGAGUGCUCUCAUUGGGUAAAAAUCAAGAUACAAAUUAACAUAUAUUCACAAUAAAAUCUCUCAAAUUUAUCAAACUAAAGUAACACUAUGUCCAGUUCAAAUACAAAAGCAACCGAAAUCAAAACGAUCGAAAAAAAUCGAAUACUGGGUCAUUGAAUUUGAAUCCAAAAUCUAUCCUUUUGGGACCCAAGAAAGGCAAAAUCCCACAAAGCUAAAGCCUACCCAGUUCAAUUUUGGAACCAAACUUUCCAAAUCCAAGCUUAAAAGUUCAACCCUGCUUUUCCCAGAAUUCAAACAGAUACCAGUUCUCAGCCAAAAACCAAAGUCAAAACAGAAACCAAAAAAAGUGGAGAGAGAGAGAUAGGUACCAGACGAUGCCGUAUGCACCGCGACCGACUGGAUGAAUAGGAGGGGCAUAUUUGGCGGAGACUUCAAAGAGAUUACCCAGAAUGUUGUACUGUACAUACUUGCCACCGUACAGAGAAAUCCCUUCUUUGUUUGCUUGAUUAGCUUCAAUAUUCUCAGACUCCAUCUCUUUCUUUCCUUCCUUGUAAUUCUCCGAGAGAAAGGAAUAAAAACAAGAAAAAAGAAAGCCCUGCGGAGUUCUCACACCCACAAACACAGGAGAGGGAGAGAGAGAUAAGGAUAUGGAAAAGGUCGAGUGACCGCCUGAAAAUGGUGAGUGAAAGCUAUGGAGGGGCCAUUUGACACCGCCUCUGCCUGACAGCCACCAAGCUCUUCUGCUUUUUUUGUUUCUUUUGGAUUCCAACUUUUUAACUUUCAAAUUUGAACGCGGAAAAAGAAAAGUCAGUGAGUCAAGAAAUCAUAAGUCAAGUUUUGGUCUUUUCUUUCUGUUUUUUUUUUCCAGUCUUUACAUUCUGUUGAAACUUGAAAAUUCGUCUUCGUGGGCCCAAACUAUGAGCAGGCCCAUAAGGCUGCAGCUUGGAUGGAGCUGCCUUCUGGCUUGGGUUGCACCGGAAAUUACAAACUAGGAGUGGGCCUUCAAACUCUCUUAACGACAAAAUGUAUUCUCCUUCUCUAACUGUUUUUGUUUUCAGUUUCAAGAUAUAAAUAAAGUGAAACAUGAUUUGGGUUUCAAGAGGCAUACCAAUAAAUAUGAUGCAUUCAAGAGGAUGCACGUCCCACCUCUCGUGAUAACUUAUAUUAAUUUUAUGGGUUAAUCUCAGUUUACUACUCUCAAGUUUAGUGGUUUUCAACAUUUGUUACAUGAAGUUUUUUUCGUCUAAGAAUCAUACCUAAAGUGUUAAUUUUGGGACAGUCUCAUACAUCCGUUAAGUUUUCGUCAAAACCUCUGUUAACUGAUGACGUGGUGCCCACAUGGAUAAUGACUUGGUACCACGUGAGAAAACCCAGCAACCACCAAUCUUUACCCACAACCCAACCCCGUGAGCCGCCAGAAAUGGGUUUCCAAUUGGAGGCUAAGAGAGAAAAAUGAGAGUCCCGCCAAUCCCAAUCCCGCUACCGACCACAAUGCGGAGCCUCCCCGCCUAGUUCCCAACAACCCAUCGGUCGCGUCGGCACUUAUGUCUCACCUGCUUCCAUAGGAGAUCAACGGCUUCGAGGAGCAGCGAGAAGGGACGAUUUUUAGGUUUUCAAGCAAGGCGGUGUCGGGUCGGGACGAGUAGUAACCGGUUCCCGUUGAUGAAGAGGACCAGGUUGCAGCAGAAGAAAGGUGUUGAUGCUGAGGCUGAGAGAUAUGUGGAACAGAGGAAGACUGCUAGAAGAGCAAGGGCGGAGCUAGGAUUUUUUUCUUGGGUGGGCUAGUUGAAAAUAGUACCAUAAAAUCAUAUGAUUAUUUUUUUUGCUUAUAUAAAAUAUAUAAUAAUCAAUAUAAAAGAACAACAAUAUAAUAUAAACUAUUCUCAAAAUCAUAACCAUAACCGAUAAAUUCAAGGACCAUAUAAAUAAUUAACCUACUAAUUCAAUCAAGAAUAAGUAAAUAAAGAGAUUAAGAACGUACCAAAUGUGACAUCCAUUGAAAAAGUGCAACGGAAAGUCAGGAAUUGCAGAUAUAGGGAUUUAAUUGUGUAUUAAAGAACUUAUUAAUCUUUUCUUGAGUAAGAAGCAUAGAGGCUAAACUACAUAGGGUAAAUGGUCUUUUCCUUUAAAGAAUAGAAUAAAGGGGGACUGGAGAUAGAGCUAAUUUAUCAUUUUUAGCAUAAAACUAUUAUUUACUACCUCUCCUCUACUAAAUAUACAUUAAAUAAUAAUAUGUAUUGAAAUUGAGUAGGCUAUAAGCAUGAGUUUACAAAAGAAUAGAUCUAUUUACAAACCCAUUUUUACUUCCAACACAUCCUUAUUAAUAUUUUGUCAGUGAUCAUUUUCAAUUCGUUCGAUCCGAACAACCGACAAUUAAGAGAAGUGUGUAAGAAGUAAAAAUGAGUGCAUGGAUAACACUACCCUUACAAAAAACCUCCCUGGGCUAUAGCCCACCUUAGCCUUGUGAGUGGCUACACCAUUGUAGAAUAGGGGUUGGUGUUUGCUUGAAGAUAAAGAAGGCUGGGUUGGUGUUUGGUUGCUGGGAAAAUCAUAAGCCAAAAAGAAAAUAAGGGUUUUAUUGUUAUGAUGUUGCUCAUAGAAAAUCGAGAUCGGCGGUGGCUUUCAUUCUCUCUUGGUCUCCGAUUGGGACCCAUUUCUAGCGGCUCACGGGGUUGGGUUGUGGUUGUUGGGUUUUCUCACAUAAGAGGGAGAGAGAUAGAGGAAGAAAGGAAGAAGACGGAAACAAAAUUAAUUUUUAAAAUUUUUAAUUCUUUAAUUUUUUAAUUUUUUAAUAUUUAAGUCAGUCCAAAUUGACAUGUGGCACCAAGUCAUUGUCUAUAUGGGCGCCACAUCAUCAGUUAACGGAGGUUCUGACGGAAAACUUAACAAAUGUAUGAGACUAUCCCAAAAUUAACAUUUUAGGUAUGACUAUGUAACGAAAAAAACUUCAUGUACCAAAUGUUGAAACCCACGAAACUUGAGAGUAAUAAACUGAGAUUAACCCUAAUUUUAUAAUUGAAAUCGUUCAAAUUUUUAAUCUUAUUUGAACAUCAUCCAUACAAAUAAAUCAAAGUGAAAAUUAUUUAGUCAUUCAAACGUAUCAAAUAAAUAAGUGGUUCAUUAUGAAUUUGUUAUUUGGUACUCACAUAAUAAACGAUUUUCGAUUCAAAUGUUUUUUGUUGUACGCAUAAUUUUCAAAUGAAAAAUAAGAAAUUGAAUAGUUCCAAUUAUGUCGGCACUGGUGCGACAUGUGCGUUCCCUCACGGUGGAUGAAAUUAUUAUCUUAUUUGUUUGGUGUGACUAAAAGCACCCAAUAAAAUUUGAAACUAAUGAACUCUAUUUUUCUAUCACCGAAAUAAAAAUAGUAAUAUAAAAUUGCAGUAAAAAAAACUUAUAUAAAUACAAUUAGAAGGGGGUUUUUGGGCUUAUAAAAUAAACAAUAGGUUCUGAAAUAAUGCCCUUAUCAAUUAAGGAUAAGUGCCCCACCUGUCACGCUAGGCUUUAAUUUUUGCUGUGUUUUUGCAUUUAAAUGUAUUUAUACGAAGAUCAUGACUUCAGUUAUGUACUGGACUCUGGUGGCACCUAUGGCUUUAUUAUUUAAUUCCAUUUAAUUUUUCAAUAAAAAAUAAUUUCAUUUUAGAUCCUCUUCGAAUCAGUUUUAUGGGAAUCCUCGGCACCAAUUGGGCUGGGAAUCCUCGGCACCAAUUGGGCUCAUCCGUUGAUAGAAAUCCGACGGCCAAAAUGUCUUCCCCUUCCUCUCUUCCCCAUCAACUUCUUUCUCCCCCACCACCGCACCCACCGCUAUUGACAAACCCCAAAUUGAAUUGUAGGUCUUUGUUUCUCUCUCUAUAAUUCCUCUACGGUUAUGAAAAAGAUCUUUGCAACCAAAAGACAUUGUUUUACACGCCCAUCUCUUUGUUGUUUUGUUAAUAUCAAUUGAGAAUUUAAGGUCGAAAGACCAACAAUUGAGGGAUGUGACGGUGCUAGGGCUCAUUUUGGAGAGGGUAAAGUGAGAGCUUGCAAUUGGGGGUUGUGGGUUGGGUGUCUUGUGUGGCAAUGUUGGGGCUGAUUUUGAGGUGAGGUUGAACUUGAUUUGGAAUUUAGGUGACUAGUGGUUCAAGGUUGAGAGGUUUGAAGCGAGGGAUAAAGAGAAAAGUUAAGGGAAAGAGAAGAAGGAAAAGAGAUUUUGAUCGUUAAAUGCGUAUUAAUCGAUGAGAUUAAUCGGUCCGUAUCAUUUGCAUCGUACUAAUCAUGGAAUCUCAACAAGUCGUGGGUUUUCUUUCCUUAUCUUGAAUCAAAACAAACGAAAAAGUCAGAAAGUAGUAUUAAGAAAUUCUUGUUGUCGUUGGAAGUUAGCAUCGUCAAACAGCAUGAACAUGCAUCAAACUUACUACUUUCGCUUGGCGGAAAAGAAACUUAGGCCUCGUUUGGUACCUCGGAUUGUACUGACUAUUUCAGUCGGAUAGGAUAAAUAGUCGUCGGAUAGUACUGACUAAAUUAGUCAGGCGUUUGGUGCAGUGUCGGAUUAAUAUGUGCAUCGAACAAUAAUAAAUUUUUUUAAUAAUUUUUAACAAAAUAAUUGGUGUUAAAAUGAAAAAAAAAGGAGAAUACUAAAAAAGAAUUUAAAAAAAAAAAGAAUAAUGUGUGCACGAACAAAAAAAAAGAAAGAAGAUAAAAAAAAAAAAAAACGCAGGUCGUCUUCCUUUCUUCGUCGUCUUUCCCACCUGCAGUAAACCAUGUUGAUGAACCUUCCAAUCCUGUAAACCCAACCUCCUAAUUUCUCAUACCACUACUUAAAAGCUCCACAAUGGUAAAAUAAAAAGAAAAUUAAGAUCAAAUCUGAUGAAGAUUUACACUGUGAUUAAAACCCUCAACUCAGAAGAACAAAAGGCUCAGAUGGACAUGGAAAAAAGGAGUAAAAGCUUCGUAAUGAAAUUGGUGUCUAUAGUAAAAAGACCCUAGUUCUUGGUGAUGGAGAAAACCCAGAAAACCCAAAUAGCAAACAGAAUAGAAAUUAAUCCAAGAAGAAAAGGAAGAAGACGACCACACGACGACUGAGCAUUAAUAGCAACAAGAUGUGUUCACAAUUUGUAGGUUUCGCAGAAGCAGAUUCGCCAGAGAGGGAACAGAGAAGGAACAAGCGUAAUUUCAUGAAGCCGACUAAUUAUACCGACGUUUUGGGGUGGACAAGUUAGCGGGUGUCCACCGUAUUAUUUAGGUGGGGCCAGAUUAUUAGUACGGUGACUAUUUAUCCAGUAGGAGCACCAAACAACUGGCACCGUAUUAUUAGUCCUAUCCGGUGUCUUAUACGGUGUGCCAAACGAGGCCUUAGGGUCUAUAUAUACAUCUGCAUCCAGAAAAAAUGGCUCAUAACGCACCUUCUUGCAACACGUGGCAAAGCCCGUACGGAUUGAAUUAAAGAUUCGAAGGUGAAAGAUUAUUCCUUUUCCGUCCGAUUUUUCAAUCCUUGUUGAGCUGUUGAUAUCCAAUGUCCGUAAACCUAGACCACUUGAAAAGAGUCAAGUCCGGCGUUUGAGGAAUUGUUCUUGAUAUGUAUCCAUCUCUCCAUUCAACUCAGUAUCAUACCGAAAUCAAUCAAAAAGUUCAAUAUAUGUGACGUAGAAGAAAAUAAAUAGGUAUUUUCCCUUCACAUUAACUAUGUAGAUACGUAACUUAGCAACAUAUACAAUAUAGUUUCGACCAGUUUCACCUUCCAAUUAAUUGCAAUAGAACAACUUAUUAGGUAAUGCGUAGUUUAGUUUGAUUUAAGUGAAAACUAGUGAAGAUUAUUUGAAUUUUUUCCAUCAAUAUAUAUAAAAGGAUGAUUCCAAACCAACAUGUCUUCCUGCUUUGCAAGAGUCCCGGAAGGGAAAGGGAACGUCUAUUGUGCACAUCAGUACCCUUACUUUGCAAAGAGGCUGUUUCCACGACUUAAACCGAUGACCUUUCGAUCACAAGGGAGCAACCUUUUUGUUGUGCCAAGGCUCGCUCUCUUCCAUUAAAAUAUAGGGUAAUACUUGGCUACUCAAAAAUAAGUAGGAACUCAUAUUCAAAAUUUCUCAAAAUUGUUUGUUGUCAAUUUAUAGAACUUCAUGUUUAUAAUCAAAAUCAUUCAUAUUAUAAAUCACCCUAUAAAGAUCGCAUCUGCAAAAAAUCAAUUAAAACUAAGGUCGUUAAGUCAUCAAACUGUUUAAAAACAAAUGAACGGUAUUGGAAAAAAUAUUACGAACUGUUUAUGUAUUUACUACAAUAGAUUGACCAAACAACCUUAGUUUUAAUUUAUUUUUUGUAGAGAUGAUCUUUACAGUGUGAUUCAUAAUAUGAAUAGUUCUAACCAUAAGUACAAAAUUCUGUGAUUAAAACACUAAGAGUUUUGAGUAGGAACUCCUGCUCAUCUUUGAGUAGCUAAGUAUGGUUCUUUAUAUAAUUCUUUUGACAUUCUAUAUUUGGUUGGAUAAAUAUCACUUGUCAAUGUACAAGACUUGUAGCCAAUGGUAAAGGGGGGAUUACGAGGCUUUCUUAAAACUAAAAACUGGAGGUCUCGGGUUCAAAACUCGUUGCUGGUGUGGAAGCCAAACUUGUGGCCAGUGAGAGGCUGAAAUGCUUUUGUGAAUCUUCCCGGCCCCCCAAAAAAGUGGAUAAUCAUGACUUACCACCAAUUGUCCUCCUUUUUAAAGAAAAAAAGUGUACAAGACUUGUGAUAAAAGAAAUGUCAAUACCACACAUGAGAUUAAUUAGUCAAUCCUUCACACUAUUUUAUAACGUUGGACUUUAAUUGAAUUUCGAAAAACAAUAACGCUGGACUUUAAUUGAAUUUCUUCCACCCACAUCAUUAUUUUCUACUCCUACAUAUAUCGCAACGUGCAUGUUCCAUGUACACAAGUCCUUUUAGAGGGAGACUAAUUUGUUAGGGAACAAUUACAAUUGGCUGUCUAAUUUUGACUUGUAUUGUGUCACAUGAUUGAUUGUCGCUAAUUCAUAACGUAAUUAGUUGUCGCUAACACGCACAUCGAUUGUCACUACAAGCAGAACAACAUGGCUAGAUUCCAUAACUCCCUAAUAUAUAUAUAUAUGGAAGAAUGGGAUCCCAAUUCAACUUCAUGUAAUGCAAGCAUAUUGUGCUCCCUCCUCCCUGUGAUGUUUUUUCUUUUCUUUUUUUCACGAAACGAUAGCAGUAUUUCAUUGAUCAUCACAAACAAAUACAAGGGUGCCGAUUUGGUACAUUGCUCCAGUGACCAAUACAUUGAUCUGGAGUGAAUUUGCACAAACAAAUGAUUAAUUAAAACCCUACACGGCUACCACAAGUAAGGUGCACCAAUACAAAUUUAUCACAAAAACGAUAAACGUAACAAACCAAUACUAGUGUAAUGGCUCACUACAUGACAUAUGCGACACAUAAGCGUCGAUCAUUCCCUAAUUUUCUUCCAGAAGGAUAAUGAAAGUGACAAAUAAUUAAAGAGAAAGUUGCUUAUUCUAAUCUGAUGGUUAGCAUUAGCUAAUAAGUCGUUUGAUUAGCUUAUUUAAUCAAGAGGACGACCCUUCAAAAUUAAAUUAAAGUUCAACCGUAUUACAAACUAAAGCCUUGGUGUUAAGACAAAUUCUUCAUUAAGAAAUUCGCAUAAAGAUUUAGAAAGUACACAUCGAAAGAGACUUGAAGACCAAAAGUACAAGCAGUGCAACAUAUUCUUAAAGAAGAUAUGAUAUUUCAUUCUUUGAAAAAAAAAUGACAUUACAAAUACAUAUCAUGAAGAACUCAACUCUUAAAAGGUCAUUGCAAACCAUAUCUAAAAUAUUGCAAUAAAGUAUCAGCAAAUCGCUGCCAUGAUCCCAGAACACCAAGUGAAGGUGACUCAGCAAAUCAAACAACUCCACCAUUCAAACAUAUAUUCAAAAGAGAUGUAGCACACCAAAAUGAAAAUUAAAAUGAAGCAAUUCUCGUAUAGAGAGCAAUCAAACUAGCAAACUCUUCCAUAAAAAGAGAAAUUGGAACCAAACUCCAAGACAUAUCCUAUAUAUUAUUAAAUAGAAACAAAAUAAAAGGAUAAAACCGCGUCACUGCUUUACAUCCUCCGGACAUCCAAGAGCCAUAGCACCGAACCGGCUAAACCCAUAGUAUCGUACUAGGUAAACUCAAUCCCGACAACUAUAACAUUUACAGUGACAAUUUUACACCAAAACAAAGUAAAUGGAAAGGGAGAGAGGAAAAAUAUAAAAAAUGAUUGUCAAGAAGAUUUCCACCGCCACAAAAGCCAAAACAAGGAGAUGGCGACAUAUAAUUUUUCUUUGAUUUUUGUUUUAGAUGUGUAGGGUUUUUAUGUAUGUUUUUUGUUUGGUAAAUGAGCUAGAACGCGCUAAAACGCGCUAAAAUUUCCGUAUACAUAGAAUAAAAGGAAAACAAGCUCCAACCAAAUCAACUUAAAUUGAGCACAAGAAGUAGCAACUACCAAAUACCAACUAGUCAAAGUACGUAAGACUUAGAUUCCUCGAAUCUUAUCCGUGUGAGUGGGAUUGGAAAUGAAUGCGAGUAUUGAAGCUACUUUGCACGAUGCGCAUCAAAAUUGGAGUGUUUCGAGUUCCUUUACGCACAAUUGUAAAUUGUAAUGAAGUGGCUCGCUUAAUAAUUUUAUUUCUCACUUUUUAAUUCUCUCGAUCCAGAUUUUAACGUUUUUAUUAAAAUUUAAUAAAUUCAUAGUAUUGGCCCAAAAAAAAUACAUAAGAUUGUUAGGGCUUUUGAAAGGAAAAAAAUAUUAAGAAAGUUAAAUAAACAAGGGUCUUUCUGUAUAUCCUGUUUAGUUUUGCCCCUUGAUCAUUCAAUUUAACACUGAAAAUAAAAAAGGGCGGGCAAUAAGAGAAAAGUCGAGUCUUGAAGGCACUUUCCCUAAUAUUAUAUAUAUAUAUAUAUAUUUAGCCCCUCCCCAAUUUGUUUGGGGAUUUAACAAUAAUCCUUCAAUUUAAGAACCAAAAAAUAUUUAUAAUUACUAUUUUAGGCCUAAUAAGACAGAAUUAUUAUGGUAGGUGUAUUAACUAUUUCUUAACAAUUUUAGGGUAAGGAAAAUUAGAGCAUCAUCUAUCACCCAAAACACAAGCCGAUAGAUUACAUAUUAUAAUAUAAGUGAUGAUAUGGAAUAUUUUUGCACUGUAUCGUUAUUUAUAUUAUAACACAUAGUGUAAUGUCUCGUGUUUUGUAUACGUUGAAAAAGUCCCAAAAAGGGGCCUUUCUUUUACUGAAAUAAAUGCUCAAUUCAAACUCCCAACAUACCAAGCAACACAGAUCUGGCAAUAAAAUUGGAAGGUAAGGUACUAUAUUUGAACAAAAUGGGUACAUUGAAAACACAGUAAAAUUACGAAGCUGAAAAACAACCCCUUCUUGUUCUAAAUCACUGUAAUACUAAACAAAACCCUGAAGGCCUACGUCACAUCUGCAACAAAAAGGCCUACGGGCACACACCAACACAGCAAACCAUUUCCCCAAAUUUCUCUCUUAACCCCAACCUCAAUCCCUUGUGUCCGAGAAAUUCUGAAUAUAAAUUUCCUGUCACGUCACUCGUAUGCUCAUGACACACGUUAAGAAGGAUUCGUGCAUUCAGGUCUUCCAAAGUGGGUCUGUGUGGUACUGGUACCUGAAUGCAAUGAUAUCCCUCUUCGCGUGUCUUAUGUAGACGGGUGGUGCAGAACAGAAUUCCUUACCCAAGAAUCUCCGGUCACAUCCCAUAAACUCAAAGACCAAAUAAAUUAAAAAAAUGAAGAAAACUAUAUUACACAAAGUUAACAAGAACCUCAAUUUUAAGAAAAAUGAGGGAUCAGGAGCGAUCGGACUGAACAUCGGAGCAGUACCCACUUGUGGUUUCAGCUGGGGUUUGGGAGCUGGAGCUCAGGAACCCUCCAUUUUCCCUUGGCUUUCGAGCUCCCCUGCCCGCCAUGGGAGCCAAGAACUUGACCAGUUCCUUAAAUAUCUUGAUCUUGAUCUGUCCCCUCCUGGGAGGGAGCCUUCGAUUUCGGCUGUGCUUGGACUUGGAACCUGGGAUUUCCAGUUUUUUCAAAUUCGACAUGAUGAAUUUGAAGGGUGACGACAAGAGCAGAAGAACAGAGGAGAACAGAGUUUUUAGUUGAAGGCGAUGAAAAAGGAGAAUUUCUCGACGAAAAAGAAAGAGAGUGUGAUGGUUUUAAAGGCAUUUUGUUUUGUUUAGGGAUUUUUGGUGGAACUUUCAUGCUAUUUGGAGUGGCCGUAUUUCAAGACGUGGCACUUUGUAGUGGCUGGCUUGAACUCUCAUGCUAUUUUUCGUAUGCCGGUAAAGAACAUAUUCUUUUUAGGGUAAAUCUCCGUUUAUUCCAUCAUAUUUUAUGGUUUUCAACAUUUAGUAUAUUAAAUGUUGACAUGGCGCCUAUAUAGAUAAUAACUGAACGUCACGUGUCAUUAAGAGGUCCAUGUGAAAAUUAAAAAUUCAAAAAAAUAAUUAUUUUAAAAAAAGUUUAAUUAAAAAAAAAAAGAAGCAAAACCCAGAUUGUGGGUUUCGCAGUUGGAUAGAGAGAGAGAGGGAGAGGGAGACAGCACGAAAGAGGGAGAGGGAAGAGUAGAAGGAUCCCUCGCUGAAUAACUUCCUCCAAUUGUCAAUGUCGAAGAAAAAUAUUAAAAUAACAUAAGCAAAGUAGGGACACUCCGUACAUUGACAAGAUUUCAUGUUGAAUAUAAUAUUGGGCAAAUUAAACCAAACCAAUAAAAGUGUUUGCCCCAGAAUUGUGAGAGCAAUUACACGUAAUGAGUUUACUAUUACCGAAUUGUUUUGGUCUUGUAUUGCAGUGCAAUAACAUAAGACAACAAACUUAAACAUGAUAAUUUAUUAUUAAAUUAAAACAUUAUGUAACGGUAAAUCUGUUUUAUGUAAAUUAUAUAUUUAUUUAUAUAUACUAAAACUCAAAUCAAAUGUUACUAUUCAUUAACAGUAGCAUGACGAAAAUGCUCUCCAAAUAUUUGUCUCAAAUUGGUUUGUCUUGGUUUUUGUAUGGUGGAAGGGCGGUGAUGUAAAUUUAAACUAACCUAAAUAAUAGAUUAAUUUAAACCAAAUUAAACUCGCAAGCGCACGAAUCAAUUGUAGAAAUAAACGCAAAUACGAGGUCGAUCCCACAGAGAUUGCCUUUAAUGCCAAUUCAACCAGUUGAUUACGCGAAACUUAACUUAACUAAGGAACAAAUGAUUGAUUAAUUGAUUAUGAAUAAUAAUUGAAACUUUACUUCAAAUUAGACUAAGAAUGUGAAUAAUGAAAACACGCAACAAAAGAAAGUUUAAAAGAAAUUAAUGUGAUGAAAGCCUAAGGUUAUGAAUCCACCAAUAACAAUCCUAUUCCCUUUCCUUCAAGCCAAUUACUAUCCAAUUACCAUGCCAACAUUUAAGGUUGUUCUUUCUAAGAUAUGAAUUGAUCCUUGGUCAGGCAUCCACUCGUGUGCUUAUACAUGAAAACUAUAUCCUAUUGGUUAGGCAUACAGUUAAACACAUACAAACCCAUUAAACACAGAAGAAUUAUGUCAACCAAGCAGGACUAGUUUGAUAUUGAUUAUCCUCACUAGUUUGUCUACUCUUCCUAAUCUUAGUUCCAAUAAACCUAAUUGAUAUUGGUCAUCCUCUCAGAUUUAUCUAAUUAUCUAGAAACAAGUUCACAAUGAUGGCCAAUCACAAGAACAUGUAAAUCUAGAAUAGAUUAAGCACAAAGAUUAAGAACUAAACAUGGCAUGUAAUCAAAUAAUAAUCAACAAAAUAAUUCGGAAAUAAUCAUGUCAUGGCUUCAUCAUAAACCUUAGAAGACGAGUUUAGUUACACAUGGUCAUAAUAAAAAUCACAACAGAAAUCAUGGAAAAAAAUAAAAUCCGGAAAAGAAUGGUAAGAACACACUCAACAGCCUGUCUUCACUUUGGACGAAUCUUCCUUGUGUAUUUCGUUUUUCUCCCCUUCUCGCUUCUCCUUGGGACACCCUCGGGCCCUUUUUAUAUCCUAAUAAAACCCUCAUAAGUCUGAUAAAAACUAUCCUAAAAGAAAACAGACUCCUAAGUAAUUAAUAAAACAAAUUAGGAAAGAGUUCCUCUUGACUUGGUAAACACGGCAUCUGACUUGCACGCCAGAUUUGGAGCCGAUUUAUCUUCUGGAAAAAUCUGUAAAAAUAUGGAAAACGUAGCUUUAUCUCUUAUCUUUCCAGGAAUAUAUCCCACAUCACUAGGAAAAAUCGGGAAAGCCUCCAAAUCUUCAUUCUCCCACAACUGCGCAGUUCUGACGGGACAGUGACUUCUGUGGGAUUGAUUUGUAAAACUGGAACGUUUGACUCCAUGAAAAAUUACGAAAUUUGGACACAAUGAUCUUCCAUCUCUUAGCUUCCUUCUCCAAUUGUCCUUGCAUCAAAACUCCUCCGAAAAGUCAAAUUAUCAUCAAAAAUGUCCUGCAUGCGCAGAUUGACAGAAACAGAGAAAAGGAAAGUAGUAAGGCUCUUUUAAGACCAAUUCUUUAACAAAACUUAGUGAGAAUUAACCUGAAAAUGUGAUAAAUAAUGCACCUAUCAGGCGGUUUUACCCUUUCGAUAUCACGCAUCGAUCAUUGACUGACCCUCUAUUUCAACUGUAUCUUCUCGAUUCUUUUUUUCCGUUUCACUUCUCUCUCACAAAUCUCUCUUAUGUCGCUCUCAAACUCACCCUCUCUGGCUCUUAGUUCUCUCAGGCUUGGUUUUGCUCCUCUACUCGCUGCCUAGAAGACCAAGUUCCCGAGGUUCAGAGACUCCUCCUCGACCUUUUCCUUCGUAGUAUUGGCCCACAAAAGUACAUAAGAUUGUUAGGGCUUUUGAAAGAAAAAAAAAAUUAAGAAAGUUAAAUAAACAAGGGGCUUUCUAUAUAUAUAUAUAUAUAUCCUGUUUAGUUUUGACCCUUGAUCAUUCAAUUUAACAUUGAAAAUAAAAAAGGGCUGGCAAUAAGAGAAAAGUCGAGACUUGAAGGCACUUUCCCUAAUAUUAUAUAUAUAUAUAUAUAUAGUCCCCCCAUUUUUUUGGGGAUUUAACAAUAAUCCUUCAAUUUAAGAACCAAAAAUUAUUUAUAAUCACUAUUUUAGGCCUAAUAAGACAGAAUUAUUAUGGUAGGCGUAUUAACUAUAUCUUAACAAUUUUAGGGUAAGGAAUAUUAGAGCAUCAUCAAUCACCCAAAACACAAGCCGAUAGAUUACAUAUUAUAAUAUAUGUGAUGAUAUGGAGUAUUUUUGCACUAUAACGUCAAUUAUAUUAUAACAUAUAGUGUAAUGUUUUAUGUUUUGUAUACGUUGACAAAGUCCCAAUCAAAGUUACCAAAAACUGCUUUGUACCCAAAAAGGGGCUGUUCUUUUACUGAAAUAAAUGCUCAAAUCCAACUCCCAACAUACCAAGCAACACAGAUCUGGCAAUACAAUUGGAAGGUAAAGUAUUUUAUUUGAACAAAAUGGGUACAUUGAAAACACAGCAAAAUUACAAAGCUGAAAAACAACCACUUCUUGUUCUAAAUCACUGUAAAUACUAAACAAAACCCUGAAGGCCUACAUCACUUGGGCAACAAAAAGGCCUACGGGCACACACCAACACAGCAAACCCAUUUCCCCAAACUUCUCUCUUAACCCCAACCUCAAUCCCUCGUGUCCAAGAAAUUCUGAAUAUAAAUUUUGUGUCACGUCACUCGUAAGUCCAAGACACACGUUAAGAAGAAUUCGUGCAUUCAGGUCUUCCAAAGUGGGUCCAUGUGGUACUGGACCACUGGUACCUGAAUGCAAUGAGGUCCCUCUUCGCGUGUCUUUUGUAGACCGGUGAUGCGGAACAGAAUUCCUUACCCAAGAAUCUCCGGUCACAUCCCAUAAACUCAAAGACCAAAUAAAUAAAUAAAAAAUGAACAAAACCAUAGUAAACAAAGUUAACAAGAAGCUCAAUUUUCAGAAAAUGAGGGAUCCGGAGCGAUCAGACUGAGCUUCGGAGCAGUACCCAAACCCCAGCUGAAACCCCAAGUGGGUACUGCUCCAUUUUCCCUUGGCUUUCGAGCUCCCCCGCCCGCCAUGGGAGCCAAGAACUUGACCAAUUCCUUAAAUAUCUUGAUCUUGAUCUGUCCCCUCCUGGGAGGGAGCCUUCGAUUUCGGCUGUGCUUGGACUUGGAACCUGGGAUUUCCAGUUUUUUCGAAUUCGACAUGAUGAAUCUGAAGGGUGAGGACAAGAGAAGAAGAACAGAGGAAAACAGAGUGUUUAUUUGGAGGCUUUUUCUCUCUCUAGAGUCUAGAGAGAGGGGAUGAGCAAAAAGAGAAUUUUCUUGGACGGAAAAGAAAGAGAGUGAAUUGUUGUAACAAAGUGAAUGCGCUUUGGGGAUUUUGAGGGGAUGGUUUUAUAGAGGCAUUUUGCAUUUUGUUGCACAAGACUCAGCUUGCUGACUUAGAGCAUCUAGAGGCACUUUGCAUUUGUUGCAUAAGACUUAGCUUCCUCACUAAGACAUUCUAGAAGCAUAUGUGGAGUCUGUAGAUAAAACUGCGCAAGUACAUAAAACUCCGCAAUCAAGCUAUUUUUCGUAUGCCGGAAAAGGACAUAUUCUUUUUAAAUUUUACGUUGGUAGCCUAUUUGAAGAAAACAAAGAGUUCACAAGAGUGACUUUUGUUGAUGGAGCCGUUUUGAACUAGAUUGUUUGUUCAAUGUUUAACGUAUGAUGUAUGCGUUUUUAUUUGAGUUUUAAAAAAAAUUCUAUCGUUUGAAUAAAAAAAAAUGUAAAAGUUGCAUGUUUUACCACUAGAGUUUGCGAUUCUUGUCAAAAGAUGAAUUUUUUAUAUAAUAAAAUUUGUUCUUUGACAAUAUAUAUAUAUAUAUAUAUAUAUAUAUAUAUAUAUAUAUAUAUAUAUAUAUAUAUAUAUAUUAAAAUUUGUUGGGCGUUUAAAUAUAAAGAUAGAAAAUCUUCCUUUACCUCGUUUCUCUUUUAUUGUUGGAGUCUUAACUAUCACCACAUUAAUAAAGGUUCAUUUUGUCACCUAAAUGUCAAACGAAUUAAAAUAUCAUAUCGUAGGAUUGAAGAGAGAAGGGGGGGGGGGCACUCUUAUUUAUUUAUUUUUUAACAUAAAUAUUAUUGAUUCAAAAUAUAAAUGGUUCUGAUCAUAAAUCAUAAGCACAAAACUCUGUGAUUAAAACACUAAGAGUUUUGAGUAGGAGCUCCUACUUAUCUUUGAGUAGCCAAAUUUUGUUCUUUAUAUAACUCUUUGGACGUUCUAUAUUUGGUUGUAUAAAUAUCUUUUGUCAAUGUACUAGAUUUCUGACUAGUGGUAAAUGACGAAUUAUGAGGCUUCCUUAAAACAAAAAACCGGAGGUCUCGGGUUCGAAACCCGCUGCUGGUGUGGAAGCUAGACUUGUGGCCAGGGGAGAUUGAAAUGUCUAUGUGAGUCUUCCCGACCCCCGAAAAAAAUCGAUAAUCAUGGCUUGCCACUAGUUGUUCUCAUUUUUAAAGGAAAAAAAAAUGUACGAGACUUGUGAGGGAAAUGUCAAUACACACAUGGGAUUAAUUAGUCAAUCCUUCACACUAUUAUAUAACGUUGGACUUUAAUUGAGUUUCGGAUAACAAUAACGUUGGACUUCAAUUGAAUUUAUUCCUCCCACAUCAUUAUUUUCUACUCCUGCAUAUACCGCAACGUGCAUGUUCCAUGUACACAAGUCCUUUUAGGGGGAGACUAAUUUGUUUGGGAACAAUUACAAUUGGCCGUCUAAUUUUGAUUUGUAUUGUGUCACAUGAUUGAUUGUCACUCAUUUACAACGUAAUUAGUUGUCACUAACACACGCAUGAUCGAUUGUCCUUACAAGCAAAACAACAUGGCUAGAUCCCAUAACUCCCUAAUAUAUGGAAGAAUGGGAUCCCUAUUCAACUUCAUGUGAUGCAAGCAUAUUGUGAUCCCUCCUCCCUGUGAUGUUUUUUCUUUUCAUUUACAAGAAACGAUAGUGGUAUUUCAUUGAUCAUCAUAAACAAAUACAAGGGUGCUAAUUGGGUACAUUGCUCUAGUGACCAAUACAUUGAUCUGGAGUGAAUUUGCACAAACAAGCGAUUAAUUAAAACCCCUACACGACUACUACAAUCAAAGUGCACCAAUACAAAUUUGUCACAAAAACGAUACGCAACAAACCAAUACUAGUGUAGUGGCUCACUGCAUGACAUAUGCGACACAUAAGCAUCGAUCAUUCCCUAAUUUUCUUUCAGAAGGAUAAUGAAAGUGACAAAUAAUUAAAGAGAGAGUUGCUUAUUCUAAUCUGAUGGUUAGCAUUAGCUAAUAAGUCGUUUGAUUUGUUUGUUUAAUCAAAUGAAAUUUCAACCCGUAUUACAAAAGCCUUGGUGUUAAGACAAAUUCUUCAUUCGCAUAAAGAUUUAGAACGUAGUAGUACACAUCGAAGGAGACUCGAAGACCGAAAAGACUAGCAGUACAACAUCAUGUCCAGAUUCAUUGCCGGAUUCAGUCAAAUUCUUAAAGAAGAUAAUAUCUUUUAAAAAAAUGACAUUACAAAUACAUAUCAUGAAGAACUCAAUUCUAAAAGGGUAAUUGCAAACUAGAUUUAAAAUAUUGCAAUGAAGUAUCAGCAAAUCACUGUCACGAUCCUAGAACACCAAGUGAAGAAGAUUACGCAAAUCAAACAGCUCCACCAUUCAAACAUAAAUUCACAGGAGAUGUAGCACACCGAAACAAAGUAAAUGGAAAGGAAGAGAGGAGAAAUACCAAAAAUGAUUGUCAAGAUGAUUUCCACCAACUCCAACAAAGCCAAAACAAGGAGGCGACAGAUAAUUUUUCUCUGAUUUUUGCUUCAGACGUCUAGGGUUUUUAUGUAUGUUUUUUGUUUGGUAAAUGAGCCUAGGAAAAAAAGAUAAGAAACAAGCUAAGCAAUUGUUAACACUUGAGUUUUAUCCAUAUACCUUAAUUUAUAUCACCAAGCAUCAUUAAGCACCCUUUGGAAUUUAGAGGGGCAAUUAAUGUGAAGUGUGAACCGAAACAAACAUUUCCAAACGACUUCAAAUUUUAGCUUUGCCUAUAUUAGCAGCCUAAUUUGUCUUCAUACUUUCUCAAUCUUUGUCGCACACCAAUUAGACACGUAGUCCCAAAGCCAUUGACUAAUCACGAAUUGAAUACAAGUUCUUUAGACGAAAAUCCAUUGACUAAUCAAUCACUUGAAUACAAUUUCUUCUUAAUCGUUGCCUAAAAAGACAAUGUUUUAAUCUAAGAUAAUUCCUUAAUUACAAUCCGUCAAAUGGUGACGGGUGACACCCUUGAUGACUCGUUCGGUCUCGAUGAGUCAUAUGCCAUUUGUAAGAUUUGUGAGACACAUGGCGCAUGCAUGCCACUUAAGUCGUGAAUAUCAAAAUUUAAUGUGUUGGUGAGUAUUCAUAGCACCGAAAUUUACAUGUCUACACUAAACUUUGAGCUUUUUCAAGUAUCUAAUAAUUUAACAAACAUUUUUUUGUGCCUACAACCAUCUUUUCAUCUUUCCCUACAAAAAAAUUUGGAAUAAAUGAUUAGAAAGCGACCACCAAGACAUAACUAGUUGGAUAAUUGUGUACCAAUAAGAUCCCAUUGAUUUCCUCAAUUAACUUAGAAAGUUUCCAAAUUAUACUAAUCUUGUUGUUAAUCACCUUAUCCUAAAACGCGCUAAAAUUCCCGCAUACAUAGAAUAAAAGGAAAAUAAGUUCCAACCAAAUCAAAUUCAUUGAACACAAGAACUAGCAACUACCAAAUACCAACUAGUCAAAGUACAUGAGACUUAGAUUCCUCUAAUCUUUAUCCGUGUGCUGAGUGGGAGUUGGAAAUGAAUGUAAGUAUUGAAGUUACUUUGCACGAUGUGCAUCAAAAUUGGAGUGGUUCGAGUUCCUUUAUGUGCAAUUGUAAUGAAGUGGCUCACUUAAUAAUUUUCUUUGUCACUUUUUAAUUUUCUCGGUCUAGAUUUGAACGUUUUUAUUAAAAUUUAAUAAAUUCAUAGUAUUGGCCCCAAAAUGUAUAUUAAGAUUGUUAGGGUUUUUUUGAAAGAAACAAAAAUUAAGAAAGUUAAAUAAACAAGGGGCUUUUAGCAUUAAACCCCCAAAAGACAAACACUUUUUCGCAAUCGAUCCCUGUUUAUAAGGAAAUGAUUUCAGCAUAUUAUUUUUAACUUUCUGCAUAUAAUGUUUAGUUUUGACCUUUGAUCAUUCAAUUUAACAUUGAAAAUAAAAAGGGGCGGGCAAUAAGAGAAAAGUUGAGUCUUGAAGGCGCUUUCCCUAAUAUUAUAUAUAUUUAAUCCCUCCAUUUGUUUGGGCAUUUAACAAUAAUCCUUCAAUUUAAGAACCAAAAAUUAUUUAUAAUCACUAUUUUAGGCUUAAAAAGACGGAAUUAUUGUGGUAGGUGCAUUAACUAUAUCUUUAACAAUUUUAGGAUAAGGAAAAUUAGAGCAUCAUCAAUCACCCAGAACACAAGCCGGUAAAUUACAUAUUAUAAUAUAAGUGAUAAUAUGAAAUAUUUUUGCAUUGUAUCAUCAUUUAUAUUAUAACACAUAGUGUAAUGUCUUGUGUUUUGUGUACGUUGAAAAAUGUCCGAAUACGACCGAUCAAAGGUACCAAAAGCUGCUUUGUACCCAACAAGGGGCUGUUAUUUUACUGAAAUUAAUGCUCAAAUCCAACUCCCAACAUACCAAGCAACACAGAUCUGGCGAUAAAAUUGGAAGGUAAAGUAUUUUAUUUGAACAAAAUGGGUACAUUGAAAACACAGUAAAAUUACAAAGCUGAAAAACAGCCACUUCUUGUUCUAAAUCACUGUAAUACUAAACAAAACGCUGAAGGCCUACAUCACUUCUGCAGCAAAAUCUAAAUCGCCUACGGGCACACACCAACGCAGCAAACCCACUUCCCCAAAUUUCUCUCUUAACCCCCAACCUCAAUGCCUCAUGUCCGAGAAAUUCUGAAUAUAAAUUUCGUGUCACGUCAUAUGCUCAAGACACACACUAAGAAAGAUUCGUGCAUUCAGGUCUUCCAAAGUGGGUCCAUGUGGUACUGGUACCUGAAUGCAAUGAGGUCCCUCUUCGCGUGUCUUGUGUAGACGGGUGAUGCGGAACAGAAUUCCUUCCCAUAAACUCAAAACCAAAUAAAUUAAAAAAAUUAACAAAACUAUAGUAUACAAAGUUAACAAGAAGCUCACUUUUCAGAAAAUGAGGGAUCCGGAGCGAUCAGACUGAGCUUCGGAGCAGUACCCAAACCCCAGCUGAAACCCCAAGUGGGUACUGCUCCAUUUUCCCUCGGCUUUCGAGCUCCCCCGCCGGCCAUGGGAGCCAAGAACUUGACCAAUUCCUUAAAUAUCUUGAUCUUGAUCUGUCCCCUCCUGGGAGGGAGCCUUCGAUUUCGGCCGUGCUUGGACUUGGAACCUGGGAUUUCCAGUUUUUUCGAAUUCGACAUGAUGAAUUUGAAGGGUGAGGACAAGAGCAGAAGAACAGAGUGUUUAGUUGAAGGCUUUUUCUCUCUCUAGAGUCUAGAGAGAGGGGAUGAACAAAAAGAGGAUUUUCUUGGACGGAAAAGAAAGAGAGUGAAUUGUAACAAGGUGAAUGUGCUUUGGGGAUUUUGAGUGGAUGGUUUUAUAGAGGCAUUUUGCAUUUUGGCGCAAAAGACUUGGCUUGCUCACUAAGAUUUACCUUGUUUCAGAACUAGAUUGGUUGUUCAAUGUUUUGGCAUUCGAUGUAUGCGUCUCUAUUUGAGUUUAAUAAAGUAUUCUAUCGUUUGAAAAAUAAAAUUAACUGUAAAAAUUGCAUGUUUUUACCAAUAGAGUUUGCGAUACUAGUCAAAAGAUGAAUAUUUUAUGUAAUUAAAUUUGUUGGGCGUUUAAAUAUAAAAAUAGAAAAUCUUCCUAAUUACCUCGUUUCUCUUUUGUUGUUGGAGUCUUAACUAGGCACCACACUAACAAAGCAUCAUUUUGUCACCUAAAUGUCAAACGAAUUAGAAUAAAAAAUGUUACUCUUACCUUUUCUUCGUACUAUGUUUUUAAUAGAGAUGAAAUAAAUAUGUGUUAGUGGGUUCUAUUUUUAUUAGCAAAAUAGUACAAAUUAUAGUAUAAAUAGACUGUAAGCAUAGCGUUGCACAGUUAUAAUACGAUCUUGAAGUAUGUUUGGUUGAGGAAAUUGAAGAUGAUGGGAUUUGGGAGUCAUGGUGCAUUUCUAGCUUAGAAAUCAUUUCUCAAUUAGAAAUGCAAUUGAAUAAUAUGGUACAUGUCGUAUAAAAACUUUCCACGUGGAUAACAAUGACCCAAAACAUCAUAUGGUUGGUUUGAAGGGGCGGGGCCCACUCUUAUUUAUUUAUUUAUUUUUAACAUAAAUAUUAUUGAUUCAAAAGAUGGCCAUAUGAAUCUUUUGGGUCAAUGACGUUUUGAAGACAUUAGACUGAAACAUCGCCACAUGCAUAAUUAUAUCCAUUUAUAUGAUAAUACGUAGAUUGAUUUUGUUCAUAUUCCAUCAUAAAACUUAACAAAUUCAUGGUCUACAUUUAUAUAAUAACAUGUGAACCGUUUAUAAACUUGUUUGGAAGUACUUUUAAAAUAACUGAAAACACUUUAAGAGAACAUAUUUGUUAAGUUCCAAUUGCACUUAAAAUGCUUCUUGAAAGAAGCAUUAGUUAUGUGCACUUUACCCUGUUUUCAAAAUUCAAUUGUAUUUUUGUUAAAUAUUAAUUCUAAAAAUAUUUUCACAAAAAUAUAAUUUGGUCAUUUUGAAAGCAGGAGCUCUAUAUCACUUUUUGGUGCAGGGCACAUAAUGAUUUUUCCAAUACCUCAGCUCAGAUAAACCAUAACUUUUUACCUUUUUCCUUCGUUAUUAGUUUAUGAAAAAACAUUAAGCAUCUACAAAUGAACCAUCGGAAACAAGUUAAACGUGUGGGCCUCUAAAUCAUGUCAUAUAACGCGGUGUUGGAAUAUUCGGAUACAUUACGAAAGAAAGAGAUGGAUGGAUGUCACAAUUAUAUUCUUAAUUAUUUUCAUUUUUUAUGUUAAUUUGUUCCAUGUAACAAGCAAUUUUAGAGAUUUAGAGAAGCAGUAGCAACCAAUUUUAUAGUAAUUUAUUGGCCGGCAAGAAGAAAAUUUACAGUCAAAUUUAGUAAUUUAUUGGCCGGCAAGAAGAAAAUUUACAAUCAAACGCGUGGGACCCUUGCAAAUAUAUAUAUCAUAAUUUUGCAUGCAGCUCUUAUGGUUCUAAAUCACAAAGAGCAAAAUGAAUUUAUAUUUGGGAUGAUCACGGAGAUUUUGUAAAAACUUAGGUUUUUUUUUUUUGGUUUACAUGGUUCCUGAGGUUUACAUAAUUCCUCACUUUAGUAUUUGAGAUUUGAAAUCUAGUAGAAGUGGUGCCUGAGUUUAUCCAUCAUCAAUCAUUUUGGUUAUUUCAUGAAAAAUAUCCAUUAAAUGAGAAUAAAAUGAUAAAAAUAAUCUCAAAUUUUGACUAAUCAUUUUGGCCUAUUGUUUAUUAAAUUGAGGGUAUUUUUAUCAUUUUAUCCUUAUUUGAUAUAAUUUUUCACGAAAUGACCAAAAUAAUUGGUAGUAAAUAAACUCAGGGACAAUUUCUUUCAAUUUCAAAUCUUAGCGAUUAAUGUUAAUAAUUACGCCAAUCUCAGAGACCAUUUUAGCUAAAAAGCUAAAAACUUUUUGCAACGUUUUGUUUAUAUUAUAUUAUCCUACAUGAAAACCGCGUCCCUCCCUCUUUAGCGUGCAUUAUACUCACUCAAACACAGGAAUUUGAAAGUAAACGAGGACAAUAGAUAUUAGAUUUUGUGGGCUCAAAAUCUCACAUCUCACAUCUCAAGUAGUACCUAAUAAGUUGACAUUAAUUGCUAUAUAUUUUAUUUUUGACAUGAUGACAAAAUCAAGUCUAGGCCAAGAACAAAUUAGUGUUCAGGAGACCAAUUAGAGUUGAGGUGAGAGGGAUAUAUCAAGAAAAUUGCAAACAAGCUACAUGUGGUAAAUGAAAACAAAUCGAUCCAUUGAUCGUAAGAAAAACUUUCAUGUCUCGAAUUUACUGUACUCCUCUCUUCCUAUAAACUCGUCAACUGAUCAGAUUUGGAAAAAAGAGAUGAAUAUACACUUAAACUUGUGUAAGUUAUUCUUGUAUAUUUCAAGUUAAUAAAGUUAUUAGUCCUACCAAAAAGUUAUGGAUCGAUACAUACCAUAAUCAUUAUGCAUCACAUUGACAUGGCAUAGAAAAAAAUUCGUAAAAUCAAAUGACGAGGAAUAUUGUUGGUAGCAUUUCGUAUUAUUUCUUAUAUAUCGUACAUGUUUGGUAUAUAAAAAGUAUGAAUCUUAUCAACAAUAAUUGUGUGUUAUCCAAUUAGCUAGGUUGAUGUGAUGAAGUGCCUCUUUUUUCAGAUAGAAAGAGAUGCACCUUUCAAAGUGCAGCCAUCGAAACUGAAGUCCGCCACCAAAGUUGACCCAAUCCCACAUCAUAUAGUAUAUGCUAGGGUUUGGUUUAAGGGAGGCCUCCAACAAACUAAGAGCUAAUUAAUUCAGAAAAAAAUGUUCUUGGAUAUUGUUAAUUAAUCAAAAUAACAAUAUAGGAGGAACUUAAUUUAGCAACACGUGUCCGUAGGUGCAUAGAAGAAAUGUGGGAUUAUAAUUGUAGUAAUGAAGGAGACAUUAAAGUGUACAGAGAAAUGUGGUUUAGUUAAUUUGUUCUUAGUUCCCAAAAAGGAACAUCAAUAAUUUUAAAGUAUUAUGGAUUAGUUUUUUUUUAAUAAAUGAUAGGGAUACUUUAUUUAUACUAAAAAACUAAUAAGAAGGGUGUCAAUUGAGUACAUCUUUUUCAGUGAUCAAAUUCUUGAUAUGAAGAGAAUACACGCACAACAAGCAAACUUAAUUAACCCCUAUAUGGCAACCACAGUGAACGAAGGAACACAUGAACCAUCGAUAUAUAGUUUGCCACAAUAAAUCAGUGAUAACAUAUCCAAAACCUAAGAACACACAAAGUCAUCGUAAAGAUGUGAGGCCGCACAAACCGCUAGGCAACACAAACAUACACAAACACAAACACAAAAUACAACUAAGCCAAGAAGAAAACCAUGGUCAGCUCAUCUCCACAAAGACAAAGCAAGGCGCACAAAUCUUGCCCCUCUGCAACCGGAUUUGCGUCAAUGACAACCCAAUCAAAGUGUCUCCAUUACAUACUUGGCCGUGAAAGGCGAUUCGAUAACAGAUAUGUCCAUGAGUCCGCAACCAUCAUCGAAUCAAGCUAGAUCGGCUACCAACGACAUACUAAAAAGCUAUCAUCCCAACAAUUGAAAUUAAUAAUAAUAAUUUUGAUCAAUUUCCAUUUGUUCUUUACUUAUAUAUUUCUUUUUAUCCAGAUGUAGAUGCAUUCCUAUUUAGAAUGGUGAUAUUUGGCUGGGUCUUAUAUUCUACAUGUUCCAAACAUUUUUUAACCUCACCAUAUCAUACAAAAGCUAAAGUCAUGCUAUUUCAUCUAUCACUUUCACACCAAAUAAAAAGAAUUAGUAUCAUCAUAUAUGAUAUUCCAAAUUAAAUUAAUGUAUGUGUGGGAGGACUAGAUAGAAAAAUGUCAGCGAACACGGUUUGGAUCAUUUGGCAAUUUUUGAAAAAUUCAAUCAAAUAAUGUAAAUAAUGAAAAAUCACUUCAUUUGGUCUGAGACGUAGAGAAAACUACGUCAUUGUCAGGAGGGCUUGUGACGAUUGCGAGAUGUUGCAAAAUAUUCGAUUUCAAAGAGUUUGGCACAAGAAAUUGUGUGAUGAUGUAAAAUUGUGUCAAUUUGUAGGGCAAGCAAAAGCGCGUCCCACUAAUCUACCAUGCAUGCAUGCAUGAUAAAUAAACAAAUAAAUAAAUAAAAACAAAAAUAAGUAAAAUGAAAACUAAUUAUCUUAAUCUAAGUCCCUCGUUAUCAUCAACAUAAAAUUUAAAAGCAAACUUUAAAUACAUACAACCAUUAACAAAUCAUGCAUAACUUUUUUUUUUUUUAGUAUAUCGAUAUUUUUACACUAGAAGGAAUGAGAAUUCGACUAAACCACACGAUGGGUAACCUAAUUUGAUAUCGAAUUCGCCAUCUACGAGAUUUGAACUAAAGACCUCUCAUUUUCAAGUGAAAAGGAAUUUACCAAACUGUAGUACUGAAUGGUAAAUUAUGCAUAACUUUGAUUGUUAGAUGAUUGAUAGACAUCAAUAAUUUCAAGGACUAAUAGAAGAAUGUUUACGCGGAAAGCUAACCCAAUUAAAGAUCGAUGAUUUCAUCAUUAAUUGCACUAAUAUUUUUUUAUGUAAAACCGCACACCUACUAGAUUGUAUAUACAAUUAAGUUGAAGACAUAAUAAUGUUAACUAGUAAUGAACUGUUGUACCGACUAUUAAACUUUGUCAUCGAUAAGAACAAAUGAGAGUUUAAAAAAGUUUAAAAUUGCAAAAAUAAAAAAUAAAAAACAAAGAUUUUCAUUUUGGUUUAUAGUACCACCAAUGAUUAGUUUUCCCAUUAUCAAUGUUAGUUUAUGGUACAAAUUAUACAUCAAGCAAAGGAAAUGGCUUAAACAAAGCGGGGCUUGUUUGCUUAUUUCAGUUUUUCCUUUCGGGGGUUUUCCUUUUUAGGGCCAACAUCUUGACAUGGUGCAUUGUUUUGGUUAUUUAUAGGGUGGUGUUAUCCGAGAGAGGAUUCUCACCGUAUCCUCUUUGUGAAGAUUUCGGAGAUCCUCAAAUCACAUCCGUUCAUUGUACAUCGUGUAGUCAGUUUUCUUCAGGUACUGUUUAUAUUCAAUUUUAAAUAAAAAAAUUACAAUGAUUUCUAACCGUACGAUGUACAAUGAACGGAUGUAAUUUGAGAAUCCCUGGAAUCCUCACAAAGAGGAUAUGGCGAGGAUCCUCACUCGUGUUAUCCAACCACUUAUUUUUACUUUUCACAUUCACUUUUUAAUUUUCAAUUGUUACAUUUAAUGAAUUGAAGAAUAUCAAUUGACAAAAUUUAGCAAUGGUGUGUGUGAGCCAAAAAAAUGAUGUGUAAAUAGCACUACUCUAUUUACAUACUCAUAUUUAAAGAGUAAUGCUAGAAAGAUCAAAAUUGUAAAUCAAAUUUUGUAAACCAAAUGAUGUGGAUAUUGAUUAUUAGAUUAUUACUUAAUGUUAAUUAACGUAUUUAUCUCUUAUUGGUGACACAUUAUUUAAUUUGAAAUUUUGGUUUAACAAUUUAAUCUUCUUAGCAUUACUCUUUGUAUAAAAACCAAAAAAGAGCUGGUAAUAGCACUGCACUUUAAAAUAGGUAAAAGAAAUAGGUACUCUGCACUUCUGUCUAAAAUGAUUAAUAACAUUUACCUCUACACUCAAAGUACUAAAUUUAAUUCUACCACUUUAAACGACCGUAUAGAAAAAGAAUAACACAAUAUAAAAUUUCAAAAAUUGCUAAGAGGAUGUAAUAUCCAUACACCUCUUUUUACUUCUUCCACAUUUUUUUGGUUUUCGGCCGUCGGAUCAGAUGAAUUAAAGAAGAUGAAUGGAUAGAAAUUAAUAAAAAUAUGUAAAAAGUAAAAAAUGGUGUGUGAAUAGCACACAAAAAAAAAA
rnacentral:lncRNA from 1 species